ACGAGGCAGGGGCCUUCAGGGAGCUAAGCGGCUGACAUCCCUGGUGGAUGGGUGGGUGUGAGAGAGAGAUCUUGCCCUGCUCUACGCCUGCUUUCUGCUGCUGCUGCUACAUUGGCAAUCAGUGCCACCGCUUUCAAAAGUGCUGCCUUCAUUGCCAAGCCCAGGGAGAGGAGCACAAAAGGCUGGUGAUCGGAGCGUGGGAACACUGCGAUUUCCAUUUGUGAGGCAGCCAUUCCCCAAUCAGGGGCGGGAACAAGUCUCCAACUCCUUCCCCUCCUUUCUAUCUUCUUUUUUUUUGGGGGGGGAGGAAUUCCCAGAGUUGAACUUCAGCCCCUGUUGCAUCACAGCAGUCCGGGGUGGAAAGGAGCAGGAACAAAGAACGGUGGAGAUCCCUGGUACGGCGAGAUUCUUUUAAAAUACUAUUUUCUUUCAAAGCACGGAGACAGCACAGCUCUUCUUGGUAAAGAAAAAGGGGAAGAUUUUAAAAGGGAAGCGUAAAAAAACAAAACAAGAAAACGGUGGCAGUGGUUGCCCACCCAUCAGGCCUAUGAUCUACAGCAGUAGAAACCCAAUCCAGACCUCUGAACACAAUCAGCUCUAUUUAUCAGGAAGUUGCAGCUCUCUCGCAAGAUGCAUAUCAGAAAGUCAGGGGUGGAGCGGUAGAAAAAAGAAGUGGAAGAGAGAACACAGUGUUCCAGGCUGAAAAACAGUUAUUAGAAGAGCCAGGUGGUGAGUGCCCAGGCGAAUAUUGGGGUUGGGGUGCCUCCUUGGAAAGAAGGACUGGGGAAGAAGCAAGCUAAUACCCAUCUGGAAGGAAAGGGGUAAUAAGUGAGUAUCUGUUUAGGAACUGGGCAAGGAAUUUAGAGAAGAGAUUGGCUAAAAGCAAACGAGGGUGUUUUUUUGUUGUUUUUAACGUGGGUGCUACGUUCCCGCCCGGAGCUAUUUAAGGACAGGACUGAGCCCACCACCGUGACCCCCUUACCGGAAGUGCAGCCCCCUUCCCUUUUAUUUGGGGAUGGGCUGCGGGGAAAGGCCGCCGGGUCUCCUUCCCUCUUGGCCCCCCUCCCCUUUCCCAACUUACCCGCCCCAAAGAGCGCGGGAGUCCCGCCGUCGCUGCCAUGCUGUUGGUGGUGCUUCUGUCUAAUGAAGCCGGGCGUGGCCUGCUGGAACCGGGGCAGAAAGGUUCCGCCCCUCGCCCGCCUCCAGCUCCACCUCUAUUUGCCUACUUUCCAUGCGGCUCUCCAUGACAAAAAGGCUCGAGCUGAAAAGAGGGCGCAGCUCAGGACGCCUUUGUUUUCAAUGUCAAAUUUUGAAGGAUGAGUGCGCCGCUAAGUAUGUACAAAGGGCUUUGCUUCCCUUCCCCCGGUCGACUUCAUUUAAACGGCGAGUUAAAAUGCGAAGGCUCUACAACCCUAAUAAGGAAUUAUAUCGAGAUUAUAUUCAGUACUGCGACGUAUUCAGCACAUUCUUCCUUAUGUAUGAUUAAAAAACAACAACAAGCAAGUUGAGUGAAACAGAAACAUUUACAUUUACAGAAACGGCUACAUUUAUGGUAGCUGAUAAAGGCAAGAUCAGAAGCACUGAUGAUGCAAGAAUGAAGGGUGUCUGUUAGGAAAGGAUUUGUGGAAAUGUGUACAUGUAUUUUAGACACACAAACACAUCUUCGUUUUUCUUGGCACAAAUACCCUCUACAAAGUAGGGGGGGAUGUUGCAGCCAAUCACACUCGCUUUCCCUACACACGCCCACUCACCCAUCCAAUGGCAAAGCUGGCAGUUUCACAUACACCCUUCAAGGAGCACAUGUGUCAGCUCUGCAUCUGACUAUGCACAGAGCAAGCAAACAGCAGCACAGGGGCAUGGCCAACAGCAGGGAGGGAUUCAAGAAUGUGCACAAACACCCACGUCAUCUGGCUUGGGUGUUAUUUAUUUUAAACGUUAUAGCCCUCCCAUAAACUUAGAACAGGGAACAGUAAAUGGGAGGGCAUAACACAUCAAGUGUUCAGUUAAAAAUCGGUUUAGACUGGAAAGCCACAACACAAGGAAACUGAAAAGCGUGACUUCUUACUGGACUAACCACAGCUGUGGAAAGACACCUCCAGUAAAAAUAUGUCUAGGUAUCCAAGAGUUGCAAUGCACAAGGCAGCACAGGAGCCACUGUGUGAAUCAGUGUCUAAAGCGUUAAUCUGGGUCCAGAGUUGUGGUUGUUAAAAUCAUGAGCUAAGAGAUGGAAAGCCCCUGUUUUUGUCUUCACAGCACAGCUGUGAACUCAUUGACUGGCCAUUGGCAAGGCACUAUGGAGCUUCAGUCUCUCCUCUCACCCAUUUUGUAAGAAAAAGGGGGCAAAAUAAUUAUAAUCCUACCCUACCAUAAACACUGGCUAUACUUACAAAAAUCACUAGGAUCAUGUAUGGAAAGGUUUUAGGCACUUACAAAAACUCAUUUAAAUCCUAAAUUUUAUUGAUGUUCUCCCUGUAUAGCCAUGUCCUUGAGAAAAAUGACAGCAAGAUCUCCCAUCCUUACUGGUUAAAAUAGUAAAAAUUAACUACCUCACUAGGGCUCUUAGGAGGAUGAAGAAGAGGAGGUCUUAAGCACUUUGAAGACAAUGAAUUUUUUCCAAGUGAUAAUCAUGUUGAAUUGAAUUAUUUUAGUUCAUUUUUUGUAAAAAUGGGAGGGGAGACAAUAAACACAUUUUUUUUAAAAAAAAAUCUGAAUGGUGUAGAAAUUGUUUAUGUGCUUGCCUAAAGCGGAAAGAACGCAUCCUGGACUCACGAGUUUUGGAAACGAAACAGGGUAAUCAUCCAGAUGAGAAAACCUAGAACAAAACCAUUCACUUACCCACCAACUCUUGCAACUUCUGUAUUGGCAUUCUGCCAGCUUUUGAAGAUCCACUUUUUUACAUAAAAAAUUCUUUGAUUGCUUGA